ACAGCUCCGAGCAGUGGAUCACUCGGCUCGCGGGUCGAUGAAGAACGCAGCCAGCUGCGAGAUUUGGUGUGAAUUGCAGAACACUCAGAUCACUGAUUAUUCGAACGCACAUUGCGGCUCCCGCUCCUCUGCGGGAGCCUCGCCUGUCUGAGGGUCGCGUGAUGCAUGCAGAGGUUCUUUCCUCGGAAGGUGACCAAACGGCCCCUUCGGAUUCGUCCGUGGGCUCAGAGAACGAUCUCUCCCGGGGAUCGACCGCAAACGUACCCCCGGGAGUAAGACAGAUAAAGGGAUAACCAUGAAAACGAGAAGCGACCUCAGAUCAGACGAGAGAACCCGCCGAACUUAAGCAUAUCAGUAAGCGGAGGAAAAGAAAACAACAGUGAUUCCCCCAGUAGCGGCGAGCGAAAAGGGAAGAGCCCAGCGCCGAAUCCCUGCGUCGAGAGGCGCAAUUUGGGAAAUGUGGCGUAAGGAGUGCGCGCAGGUCCGCCGCAGGGUUCGAGGUAAGUCCCCCUGACAGGGGCUUUUCCCGUGGCGGGUGCCAGGCCCGUGUCCUCGAGCCCCGUCGGCGGUGCCGGCGCCUCCGGAGAGUCGGGUUGCUCGGGAGUGCAGCCCCAAGGCGGGAGGUAGACUCCUCCCAAGGCUAAAUACGACCGCGAGACCGAUAGCAAACAAGUACCGUGAGGGAAAGUUGCAAAGAACUUUGAAGAGAGAGUUCAAGAGACGUGAAACUGCUCGGAGGGAAACGGGUGGGCCCUCGAAGUCCCGACCUUCCGCGGAGACUCAGUCGCUGUCGAGCGACGCACUUCUCCGCGGGAUUCUAGGGAAGUCGCGGCCGGUCGCCUUCUUCUCUCCGCCUCCGGGUGAGUCCGCCGCGCACCUUAUGGAGCGUCGGCGUCCCCCGGGGGCCCGAUGCAGAGAGGGCGACCCGGUGCCCGCACGGGCCAGCUCCUCCCGCCGUCCGCCUCUUCCGGGCACCUGAAGCCCGUCCGUCGCCGACGCGCCUCGUCCCUCGUGGAGGGCGGUCCUUCGGGCGACUCCUCGAAGUCGGAAAUGUAUAUAAUGCGGGCGGAGGGAGUUGCGGUUCCGCGACGAGUAGGUCGGUCACCCACCCGACCCGUCUUGAAACACGGACCAAGGAGUCUUGCUCUCGUGCGAGUCUAAAGGUACUUCGAGAAGCCCAGAGGCGCAGCGAAAGCGUAGAUCGCGAUCCCUCCUCUGACUCGAGGGGGGCGCAGCGACCGCCCGUGCCUUGAAGUGGGAACGGAGCGAGAGCACGAGGGCAGGGACCCGAUAGGUGGUGAACUAUUCUCGGGCAGGACGAAGGCCGAGGAAACUCGGCUGGAGGUCCGAAGCGGUUCUGACGUGCAAAUCGAUCGUCCGACCCGAGUAUAGGGGCGAAAGACCAAUCGAACCACCUGGUAGCUGGUUCCCUCCGAAGUUUCCCUCAGGAUAGCCGUCGCUCGUCGGCAGCAGUCUCGCCGGGUAGAGAGAAUGAUUAGAGCGCCUCGGGGACGCCCGUGUCACUCGACCUCUUCUCAAACUACGAACGGACGAGAAGGGAGCCUCUCCCGAUUCGGAGGCCUCCCGCGUAAGGAUGCAGAGUGGCGCGUGGGCCACUUUUGGUAAGCAGAACUGGCGCUGCGGGAUGAACCGAACGCCGGGUUAAGGCGCCCGAUGCGGGACGCUCAGAGACCCCAUAAAAGGUGUCGGUUGCUCUAUACAGCAGGACGGUGGCCACGGAAGUCGGCAUCCGCUAAGGAGUGUGUAACAACUCACCUGCCUAAGCAACCGGUCCUGAAAAUGGAUGGCGCUCCAGCGUCGAGCCCAUACCCGGCCCUUUCUCUAACGUCCAUAUUACGGAGAAAGGAGUAGGAGGGUCGCGGCGGAGAGCGUAGAAGGUCAGGGCGCGAACCCGACUGGAGCCUCCGCCGGUGCAGAUCUUGGUGGUAGUAGCAAAUAUUCGAGUGAGAACCUCGAAGACUGAAGCACGGAGAAGGGUUCCAUGUGAACAGCAGUUGAACAUGGGUGAGUCGGUCCUGAUUCACUUCCUAAUGGAAUACUUAAGACUUCUAUUAUUUGAGAUGAGAAGUAUUGGAGAAUGGGAAAAGGGUUAAUAUUCCCUUACCCGGACACGGAGAUAGGGGCACCCGUGUCCCAAGUGCGGUAACGCAAACGAACUCGGCGACGCCGUCGGAGGACCCGGAGAAGAGUUGACUUUUCUUCGUAAGAGCUCGUGUCCCUGGAAUCUCGUCACGAGGAGAUAGGGACGCUGUUCUCGUAAGAGCACGGUCGCUGCUGCCGUGUCCGGUGCGCCUCCGCCGGCCCUUGAAAAACCGAGGGAGAGAGUGUGAUUUUCGUGCCGGUCCGUACCCAUAUCCGCAGCAGGUCUCCAAGGUGAACAGCCUCUAGUCUCUAGAACAAUGUAGGUAAGGGAAGUCGGCAAGUUCGAUCCCUAACUUCGGGAAAAGGAUUGGCUCUUGUGUUUCCGUCCUCGCGGACCUCUUUUGCCGUAUUUCUUGCGCUUCUGCCGUGGGGACUGACCGCCCUCUCCGAGGCGUGGUCGGACCCCUACGCGGACGGAGGGAAGAGGAAAGAGGGUGGCCUCGCUCCUUCGAGAGCCGGGGCUUGUGCCGCGGGACAUCGUGGAAACGAACAAGAACUGGCACGGACUAGGGGAAUCCGACUGUCUAAUUAAAACAAAGCAUUGCGACGGCCGGAGAACGGUGUUGACGCAAUGUGAUUUCUGCCCAGUGCUCUGAAUGUCAAAGUGAAGAAAUUCAAUGAAGCGCGGGUAAACGGCGGAAGUAACUAUGACUUUCUUAAGGUAGCCAAACGCCUCGUCAUCUAAUUAGUGACGCGCAUGAAUGGAUUAACGAGAUUCCCACUGUCCCUAUCUACUAUCUAGCGAAACCACAGCCAAGGGAACGGGCUUGGCAAAUUCAUCGGGGAAAGAAGACCCUUUCGAGCUUGACUGUAGUCUGACUCUGUGGCGAGGCAUUAUUGGCGUAGUCUAGGUGGGAGUCUUUUCGUGAGGCGGGUCUGUGAAAUACCACUACUUUGAUCGCCUUGUUACUGAUUCGGUGAUGCUCUGUGGUCCUUCCUUCGGGAUGCGACGUGUUAUGUGAACUUAACCCGCGCUUCGUCGAAAGCGUCGGGGAAGAGCUCCGAAGACAGUGUCAGGCAGGCAGUUUGUCUGGGGCGGAACAUCUGUCAAAAGGCAACGCAGGUGUCCCAAGGCCGGCUCGGCCGGGACGGAAACCUGGCUUAGAGCAAAGGGGCAAAAGCCGGCUCGAUCUCGUUCUUCAGUAAGGAAGGGGACCUCGAAAGAGGGGCCCAUCGAUCCUUUCGAUGCGUGGGAGUCUCACGCGAGAGGUGUCAGAAAAGUUACCGGAGGGAUAACUGGCUUGUGGCGGCCAAGCGUUCAUAGCGACGUCGCUUAUUGAUUCUUCGAUGUCGGCUCUUCCUAUCAUUGCGAAGCAGAAUUCGCAAAGCGUUGGAUUGUUCACCCACUAACAGGUAACGUGAGCUGGGUUUAGACCGUCGUGAGACAGGUUAGUUUUACCCUCAUGAAGACGGGUCGUCGCGACGGUAAAAUCUGCCCAGUACGAGAGGAACCGUAGGUUCGGACAUUUGGUACUGCGCUCGGUGGUGCCGCCGGUGGCGCGAAGCUACCAUCCGCUCGGAUAACGGCUGAACGCCUCUAAGUCGGAAGCCGUCCCGAGAACGGUGAGGAUAUCAUUGUGUGCCCCUCGCGUCGAACGGCAGCUCUAGCCCCUCGAUGUUCCCCCUCGGCCCCGCCGUCGGGGAGCGCGAGCGGGCGAAAGUGGCCCCUUCGCACGCCCGAGACCUCCGGGACCCUCCGUAGACUCCGAGGGUCCUGCUCCUGCGAGCCUGCCUCCGGGCAGACGAGUGAUGUGAGUGGGCGUAGAGUCGUCUGCAGACGACGUUCUUGCUGGACGGGGUGUCGUAAGUAGCAGAGCACCCACCAUAGUGCGAUCUACUGAGACUCAUCCC
rnacentral:rRNA from 1 species